UUGCCCAAGUAUCAACACCAGUCCCCUCAUGGACUGGCUCUUCAAAAUCUGCCCAUGAUCUUCACAACACAAUUUGAGUCCAGCGGAUGUGCAAAAUCAUCCGCAAGCUAGUUUCAAGUUUCAACAUUCAACUUUUUUGUAACCUACGUCUAUGUGUCAUACCUUCUCGCAUCAUCUUUGUAUCUAAAAUUUUCAGCGACUCAACCUCGGAAACAAGCGAGUCAACAACUCGUUCUUCGUUCUCAGUAGUCACCGUCGACUCCUCGGGGUUUUUAAUUAAAUACCCUUUAAUAGUUUUAAAAUUAUUUAAAUACCCCCUCCCUUUUUGGUUUUCAUGGAUACCCUAACAAAUGUGAGCAAAGUCGGAAAUACCCUUAAUGAAUGCAUCAAAUGCACUCAAUGAAUUGUCUUCAUAUUUCUUUCCUCAUUUCUUUCACUUAAAUCUAUUUUUGCUGCCGAUUCUUUCAAAAUCUCUUAGAAUCUCUCAAAAUCUCUCAUAACUUCUUACACAAAUACAAUUAUGUAUUCAUUUCUUUAACACCCACUCUUUCUUUAAAGGUGCAUUGCUUAUUAAACAACCCAAUAAGGUAUGUUAAUGUUGUUGGGUUUUAAAUUUUUUAAUUUUUAGGAAAAUUUAGAAAUUUUCCUCACAUUACAAUAUUUUAUUUUCACCAUUUUUUCUUAUACGUAGAAAUAUAUGCAAUGUAGGUUGUUUAAUUAUAUUUUUCAGCAAUAUAACUUAUUUAUGGCGAAAAUAUUUCGAGUCGUGCAUUCUUUUGAUACCGUGUACGUCAUAUAGUUAGUCGUGUAAGUAAUAUAGUCGUGUAAGUCGUGUAGGUCAUGUAAGAAAUAUAGUCGUGUAGGUCAUGUAAGAAAUAUAGUCGUGUAAGUCGUGUAGGUCAUGUAGGUCGUGUAGUUACUUGUAUAUGAAAUUUAAUAUUAUUGUUUUUAUUGUAUUAUCAGAUAUGGUUUUGGUACGCGUGUCUAUUCUCUUCAAUGGUGAAUGAAUUAAACAAAAUGACGAGUAUAAGUUCAAAAGUUCAAAGGCUAAAGGGAUAAUGAUACCACGAUCGACAACAUAUGCCGCAUUGGUGGAGAAGAUAGCUGAAGUUAUUGAUAUAGAUACUUCGGAAUUCAAAAUCACAAUGAAGUUCAAACUUAAGACAUCUGAUCCUAUGCCACCAGUUACAAUUCAAACCAAUGAUAAUUUGGAAUUUUUUUAAAUUCCAAUUUAAUUUCACUUCUUUUUUUAAUAAUUUUCAUUGACAUUUUCUGCAUAGCAGCAAAUAUAAAUUCUUAGCACAAAUUAAGUCUUUAAAGAACUAAAUUAAUCUAAUGAUUAAUGGAAAAUUCGUGUAAUUUUAAAGUCGCAAUUAAACAUAUUACAGCCAUUUAAAAAGUUUUUUUCUUUUUUUUUUUUUAUCUUCAAAGUGCUUUCUUCCUCUGGCCAAGCAUACAAGCAUACAUGAGGAAUGCUUGCAUAUAAUUAAUCCAUGAAAUCAAUUAAGAAAAAAAAUAUCAGCUAUAGGAAAUUAAUGUAAUGUUAUACACAUAAAAACACCAUUCGCAGUGAUAAAAUAUUUUCACUCAUAACUAGACAUAUCAUGACUUACCAUGACUUAUAAUUGGAAAUUAAGAAUCUCUCUAACUAAUGACAUUUCACAAGGUAAAGGUAUAUGUACAAUUCCAAUUUAUUGUGAGCCUAAUUAAACUAAAUGUAAUAUGCAGAUUCUAUUGACAAGAAACAAAAUGUGGAAUUGAAGGUCGUGUAAUUGUGUAAUACAAGAAGAUCGUAUAAUUGUAUAAUACAUGAAGGUCGUAUAAACAUGCAAUACAUGAAGGUCGUGUAAACGUGUAAUACAUGAAGGUCGUGUAAUCGUGCAAUACAUGAAGGUCGUGUAAUCGUGCAAUACAUGAAGGUCGUGUAAAACACAACCUUGAAUCUUACAUAACCUUACACGACCAAAUCUUAUAUUACAUAACAAAAUUAUAAUCAGCACAAUCCAUUAAUUUUUCACAAUUUGCAUGCAGCAAAACAACUAGAAAUUUGUUUUCGAACAUGUUAUGAGAGACCCACAACUAAUUAAUCUAUUUUUUCAAUAUAAAACCCUAACUUUUUAUUUUUUUCCCUUGAAUAGUAACAAGAAAACUAAUUACAUGGAAUUACUUGUCUCAACUAGUUACAUUCUGACAAUUUUGCAGUAAAUGAUCAACUCUCUCCGGCGAUUAUGUAGUGACGAACUAUGCUUCACUUUCUCAGUUGUGGCAGCUUCUCCUUCUCAGGCUUAGUUUGCUCGUGUUGAAGUUCGAUUUACCAUAUAUGGAGAAUGAAUGUUUGUUUCAGUAGAGGUGAUGUCAGUGAGGGAAUUGCAGUGUUUGUUUGUUUGAGUUUGAUAAUUGAGGGAAUUGCAGCAGAUGAGUAUUUGUUUGCUUCAGUAGAGAAGGGAGAGGUGCUGUCCGUUGAGUUGAAAUGUUUUAAAAUGAGGAUAACUUAGUAAUUUCCUAUCCGUUUUGAAAGGGUAUCGAUGAAAAUUUCGGCAAAAAUAGAUUUUAGGGUAUUGAGAUAAUUUUUGAAGUAUGGAGGUGUACCGGGCGCAAUUGGCUCCGACUCCUCCUCCUUCUCUUCGCUAACACCACUUCCGAGAUGGACUGAGUCAACUCGGUCCUUGAUGAUGGCCUCAGAUUUUAUCAAAUUAGUUUCUUUUUCUCUCUGAUUUCGAGAAAGUUUGUACCUUGUCUCUCCGGAGUUAUUAAUAUCAGUUCGGCGGUUGGGGAUAGAACGGCAUCGUAGAGUGGAGGUGGUUUCUUUGUAUUCUGACGUGGAUUGAUCUGAUUGGUCGGCGGGAAUGCAGUCGUAAGAGGGAAAAUCGUCGAGCGUAUCAAAGAAUUCGUCGUCCUCAUCGUUGGUUUUAUUCCGUUCGUCCAUUCAGCAACCAGAGACUGGGGUUUCAGUUUCCGGUUAUCGCUUAUCAGGAUCGAAUUUGCUUGCAAUUCACCGUGUUUGCAGCCUUCGUGUCAUCAUUUUUUUUUUGGUUCGGUUAAUAACAUUUGCAUCCCUAAUUUUUAACCAUUUCUCAUGAAUAUAUAUAUUUUUUCUUUUUAGCUCAAAAUGUCGUAUAUUCUUUCUAACACAUUAAACUUUUUUCUUUUCAAUUUUUUUUAAAUAACCUUUGCAAUAUUCAACUUUACCAUUAGUAAUUGUUUGUGACUUAGGGGCCUUAUGCUUCUUUUGAUUUGCUGACUUAAUUAACUUAAUUUUAAUCAAUUAAGGUAUUAAGUCUUUUUAUUUUUAAUUUAAUGAAAAUUUUUAAGUCAAUUCUUUUUUACUUUUUACUUAAUCUAAAGACUAAAAAGUCUGGAUAUUAUCAUUAAAAGAUAUUCUCCAAAAUAUUUCUAUUUAAUUUAUUAAUUUUUAUCUUUACCUAAAUUAAAUUUUAAUAAUUAACAUUAUUACACGUUUCUAUAACUUGUGAUAAUAUAAUGGUAGACUAUUAUUGUUUUUAUCUUUUUAUUUUCUUCUAGUUAGCAUUAUUUUUCUUCAUAAUUUUUAUGAAUAUUUUUCAUAUAAAAACAUCAUAAACUAUAAUGAUGUAUACUAAUUUAGAAUAUUAAUUUAUAAGUGCACAAAUGUAAAAAAUACUUGUUUUUAGAUUUUUUAAGUUAAAAAAAUAACUUAAUAUUUUUUUUAGAGAUUCGAACAAAAAAUAAAUAUAUUAUUAGAUUCAAACAUUCAGCUUUAUUAAGAUUCAGACUAAUUCAAGUUUAUUCAAUUUUUUUAGAUAAAAAAAUAAACACCACCUUAGGCUUUAAGUAUACUUUUAUUAUUUUAAUAAGAGUUUAGAUAAUCAGGCAUGUAAUACAAUAAGAACUCAUAUGACCUAUAAUGUGUGUAUAUAUAUAAUCAUUCUCUAAUGAGGCAUCCUUAUUUUGAUAAAGUGAGGAUGUGACUAAUAAAUAAAAUAUAAAUUUCAAUAUACUAAGAGAUAAAAAAAUAUAGAUUUUAAUAAAUUAGAAAUUAUAUUUUUUAUAUUUUAGUGACAUUUUUAUUUUAACAAAAUGAGAAUAUCCUUAUUAAAGAGUAUUUAUAUAUAUAUAUAGAGAGAGAGAGAGAGAGAGAGAGAGAGAGAGAGAGAGAGAAAAUUGUAAGGGAGAGAAGAUUUAUGAACGAAAUAUUCUAGUUGCACUAUAAAAUAAAUAAAUAAAUAAUAUAUAUAUAUAUAUAUAUAUCUAAAAUCUACCAUCCUAAUAGAUUUCAAGUUGUAAUAAAUCCGAAAUUGUAAUCGUUGAAAAGAAAAAUGGUUUGGGACCUUUUUAAUACAAACGGAGAACCAAUAUCCUUUUCCGUGAGAUUUGAGAAACAAGAAUAGCAAACAAGAAAUCAGCUUAUUGUCAUUAUCUGGCUACGCACGAUAUAGGAUCCGGCGGGAAUCGCCAAUCGCCCAUCAUAUACAUACAUUUGUUUUGCAAAUGUAUCUUUCAUCAUUGAAACUAAAUAGUGAAUAAUUAUUUUCUUUCUUUAAUGGGAAAAAGAAAGAAGAGAAAGUUCUUUGCAUGAACAUAAAAAUCUCCAAGUCCACUAAGAAAUGUACUUACAAAAAUAAAAGUCUACUGAGAAAUGUAAAACCAAAAAUUUAUCUUCAAACUAGAGAAAAUUUUUCAAACAACCAAUAGUUAAUGCGCGUAUUUUGUGAAAGAUAGCCAAUGGGAAUGGGAGGUAACGUAAUCAAAUAAUUUAUUGAUUUAUUCAAGUCAUCAAUAUCAAAGUGAGACAUCCAUUUCCAAUUGGAAGAAAAAAAACCAUAUUUUAAUUGCCAAACCGGCGUGGAUUUCUCUCUCUCUCUUUAAGGUCCAAUUAACACACUAAUUAAGUUCAGAUUGUAUAUGGACAUCUGUGACUAAUUGGUUAAUUGAUUCAUUAAACUAUAUCUCUAUAAUCUUUUCUAUCCAUAUUCCAUUCUAAUGUUGCAAUGACAUAUAUAUAAAUAUAUAUAUAUAUAUUGUGUGUGUAUAAGGAAAUUUAAUUAAUUUCGUAACACAUGCAUUAUUGCAUUAAAAUAAUAGUCACUGUUGCCUCAAUUUCGAUGGUCAAAAGCAAAAUAUUUAAAGCAGAAUCCUACAGUUUGACCAUGCAAAAAACCAAUGAAAAUUCAAAUAUCGGGGGUUCCUAUACUAAUAGUUGCGAAUGGGACCAACAAUUCAUAUCUUUCAUUAACCUGUAAGGUGGAAAAAUCCAUAUCGGCGAUUAAUUAAUCAGACAUGCUGCGGAUGAGGUUUAAUGAGAAUCUUAGCAUUGGCAGGAAGUCAACCAUGUGCCGAGACAAUAUUUUUAUUAAAAUAAUGCACUUGGCUUGGAUACAAUUCAGAAUAUGACAAAAACAAAUCUAACUUUAGUUUGACUGGUACUGCAUUCUAAAAUCGUACCAGGACGAAAGACAAAAUCACAUUAGAAGGGUAGUUGGAAUUUUCUUAAUCGAGCUAUUUGCUUGGAAGAUUCAUCAUCCCUGCAUUUAGCAAAUAUAAAAGAAUCGCAAGAUUAUUAAAACAACGUAGUAAUAACAGCUCAUCAGAAGAUCCGUACGGUACAACAAGGAAACAGGGUAGAAUUGAAAGAUAGCUCAUAGCUCAUACCUCACGGCUAGCUUUUCUGGGUCUUCAAAGAUGUCCUUCUUGAAGCUUGACCUGCUCCUUGUCUCAAUUCUGUCUGUAAGCUGCUUAUGGACACAAGUACUUGUUUCUGCUACUCUGCCUCGAGCUGAAGGUUCGGCUGAUAAAAUUUUCUUUUUAUUUUCAAUAUCCCCUUCUUCAUGAUAUCUUGUAACCAGUUGUAGCUUAUGUUUCAUUUCUCUCUCUCUCUCUCUCUCUCUCUCUCUCUCUCUCGGUAUUAGUAGUGUAUUAUUCUCAGAAAUAAAGAAUAAAACAUUGUUAAGAGCCUAAGAUGAUAAUUGAAUUGAGGAUCAGCGAUCUUACAAUGGUCAGAUUAGUGACAUUCAUAAUAUUAUUAAAAAAAUUAAAAAUAGAACUUCAAAAUUUGGUGACUGGUCGAAUUCAGAACUGUUAUUUUCACCAAGUUCUGAUGUUUAAUUGAGAGAUGCUUCUUUGUGCAUGUAGUUGAUGCGCUCAAUCAAAUUGCCAAAACAAUGGGAGCUAGGGACUGGACGUUUGAUGCUAAUGCUUGUGACCUGAAUGAGACACCAAUAGUGCUGGAAGAAGGUCCCACCAGGAUCAUUACUUGCAACCUUGGAAUCGAUAAUACAAGCCACAUUACUGAAAUGUAGGUUCUUUUUUUGUCAUUUUAUAAAAUUUGAACCGGCAUAUUUUUAUUUUUCAGUUUUGUGUUUAGGUUGAUGUGAAGGACCAAUUUUGGGUAUCUUUUGUUUUCCAUUUUCAGACAAUUCAAACGUUGCAACCUUUCUGGAACACUUCCACGAGAAUUGGUCCAGCUUCCUUCCAUCCAGAAAGUGUGAGUUGAAUAGUCUCUAAUCUAAUGCAUUGGGAGAUUAAACUUAUAAAUAAAUUAAUCAUUUUUGUUAAUUUGCAGUGAUUUUGCCUACAACUACCUAAAUGGUUCCAUACCAGUCGAAUGGGCUUUGUUGCAGUUGAAGUUCAUGUAAGCUAUAUCUAAUUCUCUCUAAUCAGGUUAAGCAGUUAGCAUUCUACUUGUUUCAUAGAGUUAAUUGAUCGUCAAUAAUCUUAAUGCAGCUCUGUUUUUGGAAACCGGUUAUCAGGCAAUAUUCCAAGCCAUUUGGCGAACAUUACCAGUCUCACGUACUUGUAAGCUAUCAAUUCUUGGUUUAUGCAAACAUAUUUAGGCCACUGAUGUAAAUGAUAACUAAUUUAUUCCCUUUGUAAUCUGAAUGGGUCUAAUUUGCCAGGGACAUUGAAGCAAACCAAUUCUCGGGAACCGUACCUGAGGAGUUCAGGAAAUUAGUAAACUUGGAAACUCUGUAAGGCAUUGUCAAGCUUUUUUGUGGCUGAUAUUUGUUCAUGAUCAAUGUAAUCAUUUGGACCAUAAAUUGUCAUGGUUACAGGAGACUGUCCUCCAAUCAGUUGAGUGGAAGUUUGCCGACGGGACUAGCUGAGCUAAAAAAUUUAACUAACUUGUAAGCCUUCUUGAUUAGUGUCAGAUCAUGCUCAAAAUUUAUCAGAGGUAUAAGCUGUACUCAUUCUCAUUGCACAUUGCAGUAGGAUCAGCGACAACAACUUCAAUGGGAGUAUACCAGAAUUUAUACAAAACUGGAAGCAACUUGAGAGACUGUACGAUCAUCUACAUUACAAAGAUUUCUCAUCUUACAUUCUGGUUCUUGAUUGUUCUUGAUUUGUUAAUUUGAGUUGAUGCAGAGAAAUGCAAGGUAGUGGAUUCGAUGGACCCAUUCCGUCAUCCAUCUCUGUCUUGGAAAAUCUGAAACAAUUGUGAGUAAAUAUUUCUCUACUUGUCAAUUACAAUAAUCAGAAUGAUUUAAUACAUCAAUUUAUAUGAUUAAUUUAUUAUAUUUAACGAUACUAAAAGGAUCUGUUAAUUAUGGCACUCUAACAGGAGGAUUAGUGACAUAGCUGGAACAAAUCAUCUUUUUCCGGAUCUUAGAAAAAUGGCAGGCAUUAAAAGGAUGUAUGCUCAUUGGCUAUUUUCUAUCAUUUUGAUGGAGUAUGAUUAUUCGCCUUAUAAUUAUCUUACAGGAUUAAUGUUGGAUUUUCAGAAUUUUGAGAAACUGUGGUAUUUCUGGGGAGUUUCCUGAAUAUAUCUGGCGAAUGAAUAAUCUGCGAAUUUUGUAAGUAUGCUACAUUCUUUGUUUUCUAAUGCAGAAAUUAAAUACUUGAAAAUGAAAGCAAAAUUCCGGGUUUACAUUCAUGAAAAGUAACACCAACUAGUAAUGUAGUAUUCUUCUAUACCUUGCAGCUGCCAUAGCAGCAAUAGAGUUGAAGCAUCAGCACUUACAGGCCAGUUAAUGUAUUUACAUGGAUAAUCAUUAUCUUUUGAAUUUGGUUUGGACAGGGAUCUCAGUUUUAAUAGGCUAACCGGGAAAAUUCCCAAUGUUGCAACUCCACCGAGUUUGAAAUUCAUGUAAGUUAAUGAAAUCAACUGUCUGGAUUUACAAUGUUAAUUAUGUGAUGUCCAACUCAUUAACCACCUGAUACGGCCUUGGUCAGCUUUCUAACUGGCAACUUUCUCAGCGGGAACAUACCAGCGUCGAUCUUGAGGAAAGGAACUAAUGUGUGUGUAUCUUAUCACCUGGAUGCCUUGAGUUUUACUUAUUUUAGUGAUUUAUGUUCAUAUAUAUUUGCAAUCUGUUGAUUUACUAUAUAGUAACCAUAUGUAACUUUGUAAUCCUGUUUCUAAAGAGACCAUAUUAAACAUCAAUUUUGUUAAAUAAAUAAUCUUAUGCAUGAAAUUUCCUUCAUUGCUUCUUUCUUGCAUGCAGGGAUCUGUCAUAUAAUAAUUUCACUCAUCAAAACCCUGAGCAGCCUGCUUGUCGGGAGAUACAGUCAGUAUAUUUCCCUCUCUAUGUUAAAUAAAUAAUCUUCUCCGCUUGUAAUAUCACUUGGUAUAUCUGAGUGCUGAUAUUUGCUUUGUCUCCCGUUAUUUCGUUAGGAAUCUAAAUCUGAACCUGUUCCGAAGUUCUUCUGGGCACAGCAAUUUGUAUGUUGCUUUUCAUGCUUUCUUAUUAUUGUAGCUUAUGUGACAGAUUUAACAACCAAUGUAUAAAGAAGUUUUAAAAAUAUACAGUCAUUUUAUCAUCCAAUAAAUAAGAAGCAACGUGUAUUUUUAGAUUAGACAAUGUAAUGUCUACUAAUAUUCUCUUUUUCCUUGACUAAAAACCAGAAGUGGAGUUCUUCCAUGUAAGAAUAAUUUCAAAUGCGAUCGAUGUAAGUAUACUCUACUAUCAGUAAGUCACCAUAAAAUCUAUAUCUCGAAUAUGUUGACUUUUAGAAUCACAAAUAGUUGGUAGCCUAGCUAUUAAUAAUAUCAUAUUCAAAUCAACUUCAAUUCUUCUGUUUAUUUUUUAAUUGUCAGUUCAUUUCUGGUUUCUUGAAAACUCAUUGCUCAGAUAGUCUUUAACAUUCUUUUUUCUCGGCAGAUUGGCACUCACUGCACAUUAAUUGUGGUGGAAAUGAAGUAAAAGUAAAUGGCAGCACAUUUGAAGGAGAUGGACAAAUUGGUGGUGGUGCUGCAACAUACCAUUCAGAAGAUGAUACUAACUGGGGUUUUAGUAGCAGUGGAGACUUCACUGAUGAUGAUGAUGAACAAAACAGACGUUACAUUGCAACUCCUGACUCAUCAAACCUUUCUGAACUAUACAUUAAUGCACGCAUUGCUCCUCUUUCACUUACUUACUUUGGAUAUUGUUUAGACAACGGAAAUUAUACUUUGAGUCUACACUUUGCGGAGGUCCAGUUCAGUAAUGGAAUUACAUUUCACAGCCUGGGAAGGCGUCUAUUUGAUAUUUAUAUUCAGGUAAUUAAUCAGAAUCAGGAAAUAGAUUUUCAUCGGACACAUUUCUCUCUGUGAGUUCUUGGGAGACAGUUGUGCUAUUGAGUAAUAUGAUGGAUGAUUCUCAAUAUGUUUCUCUGGAUUGUCUUGUUUCAGGACAAACAAGUUGAGAGGAAUUUCGAUAUAAAAGCUGAAGCUUCUGGGGCUCUUAAGCCAGUUGCAAGAUCCUAUAAUGUCACUGUUACAAAUCACAUUAUAGAGAUCCGUUUCCAUUGGGCUGGAAAAGGGACUACGGCACUUCCUAAAAGGGGAGUUUAUGGCCCCCUAGUAUCAGCUAUUUCAUUGAAUGACCCCAGUGAGUCCUUUUCAUCCCUUAUUCUGUUUUCAAAAUCGACUAACAUUAUAAUACGUUGCGAAGUCCGGAUUUUUAGUAACACAAUUUCAAAUGUUCUUUUUUGAAGUUUAACUCUCUACGAUUGUACAUUAGAAAAAAACCAAAAUUCAGAUAUUUAGUUUGUUUGCAGCCAUUUUCUUACAUAUCCAUUUUAUGUGAAAGGAAAAAGAAAAUCUCCAUAAGUUAUUAAGCCUAUCAAUGUAGUUUUGAAUUUUUUUUCAUGCCCACACGUUUCUGUAAUGCAUUCGUUCCAUGUUUUCACAUGCUUCUGAUAAUCCUGCUUCAUGGAUUCUCCUUGGCAGACUUCAAACCUGAAAAGAAGAAGGUAGUGCCGAUUGUUGUUGGAGUAGUUGCAGGAUUAUCUCUCAUAAUCUUGGCGUUCGGUAUCCUCGGUUGGAGGUACUAUUUGAGAACCAAGAGGCGCAAAGAAAGAGGUGUGGGCUUCUUUUAGAUAAAAAUUAAAAAAUGCUUCAGUUUGCUACUCAACAUUUAUUCACAAUCAUUUUCUUUUUCAUUAUAAUAAUCAAAAUAGUAUCUUUAUAACAGCAUUAACUUUAUGUAAGCAUGUGAAGACAUUUAGGUUCAAACUACAUGCUGAUGCUCAUUUUGACCAUCCACAUUAAAUUUAGUAAGGAAAUAACUUAAUGAAUCCAGAAACUCAUCUAGAGGCUAAAGCACACUUGUCUCUCUUUAUUUGGACAGGUUUUAUGAAAGAGUCGGAUCUCCAAACAAUUUCUUUUACCUUAAAACAAAUUAAAGCUGCAACUAACAAUUUUGAUUCUGCAAAGAAGAUUGGAGAAGGUGGAUUUGGACCUGUGUACAAGGUAUAUUGGCCAACCUUUUGCCCCUAAUCAUCCUCUUAACACAAAAUUUCCUUCAAUGGUUACUUAAAAUUUGUACAUUUCUUUUUUCAUAACUGGGAUGCAGGGUCAACUAGCAGAUGGUACUAUAAUUGCUGUGAAGCAACUCUCUUCAAAAUCAAGGCAGGGGAAUCGUGAAUUCUUAAAUGAGAUAGCCAUGAUUUCGUGCUUGCAACACCCAAAUCUUGUUAAAAUUCAUGGCUGUUGUGUUGAAGGGGAUCAACUCUUGCUAGUAUAUGAAUACAUGGAAAACAGCAGCCUUGCCCGUGCUUUGUUUGGUAAGUUUAGUCUAGUAAAACAAGAAGCAAAUGUUACAUACAGGUAUAUUAUGUUUCAUAUUCUGUAGGGAUGUUUCUGAUUGGAUUUGGAAUGGUUAUUGUAUUUUUAAGGUCGUGAAAACUGUGAACUGGAAUUGGACUGGCCGACCAGGCAGAAGAUCUGUCUUGGCAUAGCCAGGGGGUUAGCUUUUCUUCAUGAAGAAUCAAGAUUCAAAAUUGUUCACAGAGACAUCAAAGCUACAAAUGUUCUGCUAGAUAGGGAUUUAAACCCCAAAAUAUCAGAUUUUGGACUAGCUAAGCUUGAUGAGGAGGAUAAAACCCACAUCAGCACUCGCAUUGCUGGAACCAUGUAAGCCUCAUUUCACGUCUCUCAUUUAAAACUGAUAAUUUUGUUAUUGUUUCAGUGUAAUACAAAAUUGAUAAUUUUGACUUCAGAGGAUACAUGGCACCAGAAUAUGCACUCUGGGGCUAUUUGACCUACAAAGCAGAUGUUUACAGUUUUGGGAUCGUGGCCUUGGAAAUUGUUAGUGGGAAAAAUAAUAUGAGUUAUGCUUCAGCUCUGGAGUUCGACUGCACUUGUCUUCUCGAUUGGGUCAGCAACUAACUCAUAUAAUUCACCUUCUGCAUUUUCAUUUCUGUGGUUGUUGUGUCUUCUCUAAUGCUAUGUUUUGGUUUGGGUAGGCCUGUCAUCUUCAGCUAGAUGGAAAGUUAGUGGAGCUAGUGGAUGAAAGGCUAGGAUCAAAAUACAACAAGGAAGAAGCAGAAAGGAUGAUCAAAGUAUCUCUUUUGUGCACAAAUGCUUCGCCGUCACUAAGGCCAACAAUGUCGGAAGUGGUGAACAUGCUGGAAGGAAAAACUGCCAUACCAGAUAUGAUACCAGAAGCUGGAAGUUAUAGUCAAGAUUUGAGGUUCAAAGCCUUGAGAGACCAAAAGGGGCUGAGGCGUAGUCAGAAUUCGACAGCAACUCAGUCCCAGCAUUCAAUAUCAGCUGAGUUCAAUCAGGCCUCUUCCUCUACUUCGGCUGCCCAAGAUCUCUAUGAAAUUAAUGAGGAGUCAUAUAAGAAGUAUAAAGUCAUUAGAGACGGUUAUAAGCUGAUCCAAGGCAUGAAUUCAGAGGUACAGCUUUCAACGACUAUGCCCUCAUGAACUGCCUAUGAUCUUUACAACCAUAAUUCAUCGAGUUCCUAGAAACAUACAUCAUUUUUGGUGUUGUCAAUUCCGCAGUUCCUUUUUCAUUUUUUGAAAAUAUGUGUGUAUAUACACAUCUAUGUUAUUGUGCAUUUUGUUACCUUGGUGACUGUAAGAUUACAAACUAACUAUACAUUUGGAGUCCACAAAACAAAUGUGAAAAGAACAACUUUGAUGAUUGCUGGCUUCCUCAAUAAUUUUAGAGGCGCACGCAACCAUUUCCAAUCUGAUUGGCCCUAGCUGGCUGCCAUGUCUAGCGGCUCACAUCCGUCCUGCUUUUGAAAAACAGCAGCGAUGAAUGUAUAAAAAUUAGUUAAAAAAAUAGCACCUCACUAUUAAAAGAUAAAAGAAAUUCACUAUAAAAUUAAAAAAAUAUAUUAUGUUACAAGAUAUGUUUUGGAGUCUCCCAUGCUAUUCGUGCUCAAUUUCGAUACGAACGCUACUAUUCCUAUUAAAAACCUAUAAUGUCAAAUUGGGCUUAAAAUAUCUAAUUUGACCAUUCUACAUAAGAUCUAUUACUCAUCCACAUUUUAAUCUUAUAACUCUAAAACAAAUAAUAUAAUUUUCUGAAUCAAUAUCAAAUUGACAGUUUGACACUAACUAUUCAUAUAUUUGAGCUAUCAAUGAUCAAUGAGUGUCCAAACGAUUCACUUCGCUCCAUUCUACAGCAGCGAAGGAAUCUGAAACCUUAUCAUUGAUUUGACAAAUGCAAUAACCGGCCCUUUCUGUUAGAGUUACUAUCAUUAGUCAUACAAAAUGUUAAACGUUGAUUCCUAUUAAAAAAAAGAAAAAAAGUAAAGGUAUUCGUAUUGCAUGCUCAUGCAUGCACGGAAAGGUGAAUUGAAAGUAAUUAAGAUGGCUGUUUAAUCUUCACUUUUCAACAUUUUGACUAAAGAAAUAUUGGAUGUGCGUGCAUACAGCAUAUUUUAUUUAUGGAGCUGCAUAAUAUUCUAACCUUUUCUACUGUGUAAAUCAAAAAGUAAGGACAAAGGAGAAGAGAACGAUUGGAUGACGUUGGCUGCUAGAGGCAGAAAGAGAGCUGCUCUGCUCAAGGCAUAUUUUGGGUACAAACUUGAAUACAGAUUCCUAUUUUGGGUUUUGCGAAAAUGCUCUUCUUCUUCAAACGUUUUCUACUUCCUGUGCUGGUUAUGAGUUGCUUUUGGGCUCAAAUUUUUGCUGCUGCUAAACUGCCUCGACAUGAAGGUAAGUUCAAAUUUUUGCAAUUUUAGUACAGAUUUUCACUUUUACCAAGUAGGAUCUACUUCGAUUAGUAGGUUUUGAUUGUGUUGGCAGUUGGUUUGAUCCUAUCUCUGAAUAAUUACUUUAUCAAGAUAGUAAAAACCCAGAAUCUCAAAUAUUCUUUUAAAAGCAUUAUUAGCAGAUUUUUUUUUUUUUUAACUUUUAAAUUUUCUGAUGAUGAUGAUGAAAAUGCAGUUGAUGUUCUCAAUCAGAUAGCUCAAACAAUGGGAGCCACUAACUGGACUUUCGGUUCUGAUGCUUGUGAAGAUCACGUCACUAUAAAACAGAUUGUAUUAACAGAUCCUUUGAGAAACAUAACCUGCAACUGCCAAUUUCAGAAUGAAACCUGCCACAUUAUUGCCAUGUAAGUUAGUUGCCUUGAUUCUCUCACGAAUUAGAUGAAAGUAUUUGUAGCAUUCUUUCAAAGAGGAAUCUUGGUCACACAGUGUCAAUUUUUAAUGUAGUAACAAAAAAGUCUGAAAAUUGCUAUUGCCCAUUAAUGGAGUGUGAAAAGUGCUGUUUUUGCGAAAAGGAAAUUUCUUUUCCCAUAAAAUAAUCUGGUUUUGCUUUACUUUUUCGCGGAAUUCAUGCGUUUCAGCCUUCGAGGAACUCUCCCACCUCAAAUUGUCAAUCUUCCUUACCUCGAAAAUGUGUAAGAUUGUACACAACUUUCAGCAAUGCAUAUUUAUUCUAAUUUUAUUGUUCGCUAAUUUUUUAUGCAUUUGGGAUUGAUACCCAAUUUUGUUGAGAGGGUUUCUGUGAAUGCUUGUGAAAGAACUUUAAAAGCACUUGCUGAUGCUUCUCCAUAAAGCAUUUCCAGUACAUUUUUGACCCUCUAAGCAUUUUCUAGAAAUCAUCUACAAGUGCUUCCUCACAAGGAAUUUUGCAUUUUUGUUUAUUUUAGACUAAUGCUACCAAAAAAUAGACCCAUGCCAAAAAUGUAACUAAAUGCACCCCUAUUAGUCUACUGCAUUAUGAAUAUCUUCGUUUCCUUCUUUCUUUUACAGACCAAUUUGUAAAUUUGAUUGAUAUUGUUGUGGAAUGCAGUGAUUUUGCUUACAACUAUCUGCAUGGUUCGAUACCACGUGAAUGGGCCUCGAUGCAACUGAAGUAUAUGUAAGCUAUAUCUACAUCUUUCAAUCGGUCGAGAAAAUAAAAUUUUGUUUGUCUCACUGAAUUAACCAUAUUGGAAUUGUCCAUGCAGCUCUGUUUUUGCAAACCGAUUGUCAGGCAAUAUUCCAAGCCAUUUGGGGAACAUUACUAGUCUCACACUUGUCUCUCUUAAUUUGGACAGGUUUUAUGAAAGAGUCGGAUCUCCAAACAAUUUCUUUUACCUUAAAACAAAUUAAAGCUGCAACUAACAAUUUUGAUUCUGCAAAGAAGAUUGGAGAAGGUGGAUUUGGACCUGUGUACAAGGUAUAUUGGCCAACCUUUUGCCCCUAAUCAUCCUCUUAACACAAAAUUUCCUUCAAUGGUUACUUAAAAUUUGUACAUUUCUUUUUUCGUAACUGGGAUGCAGGGUCAACUAGCAGAUGGUACUAUAAUUGCUGUGAAGCAGCUCUCUUCAAAAUCAAGGCAGGGGAAUCGUGAAUUCUUAAAUGAGAUAGCCAUGAUUUCGUGUUUGCAACACCCAAAUCUUGUUAAAAUUCAUGGCUGUUGUGUUGAAGGGGAUCAACUCUUGCUAGUAUACGAAUACAUGGAAAACAACAGCCUUGCCCAUGCUUUAUUCGGUAAGUGUAAUCUAUUAUUGAUUGCUUGAUUGAUUAUGUGAGAGGAAAAUAAAAUAGUAACUUAGAAACACUAUACAAGUUAUAUAACAAUCUAUUAUUCUCCCUAGUAAUAUCUCUUGGAAUGGUCAUGUUAAGGUGGUGAAAACAGUCGACUGAAAUUGAACUGGUCAGUGAGGCAGAAGAUCUGCCUUGGGAUAGCCAGAGGUUUAGCUUUUCUACAUGAAGAAUCCAGAUUCAAGAUAGUUCAUAGAGACAUCAAAGCUACGAAUGUUCUGCUAGAUAGAGAUUUAAACCCCAAAAUAUCUGACUUUGGACUGGCUAAGCUUGAUGAGGAGGAGAAAACUCACAUCAGUACUCGAGUUGCUGGAACAAUGUAAGCUACAUGUCUCUCUUUUCAAUGACAUUUUGUCACUGUUUUAACAUCAAAACUCAUGAUAAUUUGAUAUGCAGAGGAUAUAUGGCACCCGAGUACGCUCUAUGGGGUUACCUGACCUACAAAGCAGAUGUUUACAGUUUCGGAGUUGUGGCUUUGGAAAUUGUCAGUGGGAAGUAUAAUAUGAGUUAUGUGCCAGACAGUAAUUGCAGCUGUCUUCUUGACUGGGUAUGAGAUUAACUAAAUUUUUAUUCUUUAGGAGUACAUGUAACUCCAUUUUAGUGGGGACAUGUUUGUUUGUUUGUUAUUUAUUUAUUUGGGACAACAGUUGUGGCAUGAGUUUAAAUCCAAUAAAUGUAGAUUUUUUAACAUAAUUGUCUCGGUUAUGUAUUUCCCUGGCCUUCCAUUUACAUCGAAGUGGUACGUUAAUGGAGUUAGUGGAUCCAAGGCUCGGAUCAGAAUUCAACAAGGUUGAAGCAGAGAAAAUGAUUAAAGUAGCACUCUUGUGCACCAAUGUGUCACCUUCACUAAGGCCAACCAUGUCUGAAGUGGUAAGCAUGCUGGAAGGAUCUUCUAACAUUCCGGAUGUAAUCCCUGAAGCCGGUGGUUUGAGUGAAGACUUGAGGUUUAAAACUCUAAGAGACCAUCCAAGAGAAAUGAAUAGUUCGGGUUUGGAAGGAAGUCUGUCUCGUUAUUCAUCGUCAGCCAGCUUCUUGCCUGGUUCUUCCAGCUUCUUGCAUGGUUCUUCCCCUACCGAUGAUGUCCGUGAAAUUAAUGCAGAGGCAUAUUUGAAGUUUAAGGCCAUGAGAGACAGUCAUAUUCAUAUGGAAAGACAAAGUUCGGUUGCCCAAGUAUCAACACCGGUCCCCUCAUGGACUGGCUCUUCAAAAUCUGCCCAUGAUCUUCACAACACAAUUCGAGUUCAGCGGAUGUGCAAAAUCAUCCGCCAGCUAGUUUCAAGUUUCAACAUUCAACUUUUUUGUAACCUACGUCUAUGUGUCAUACCUUCUCGCAUCAUCUUUGUAUCUAAAAUUUUCAGCAAGUACGUACUAUAGAAGUCAUGUUUGUGUGUUUGGAGGAAAGAGUUACCAUUUUUCUGGAGUUGUUGAAAUUACGUGGUUUUAAGGUUGAUGCGAAAACCCAUAGUUUUGGGGAAAAAAAGGAAAGAUAGCAGAACGCCACGUGUCAACGAAUGGA
rnacentral:lncRNA from 1 species